GAAGAGGUCGGGUGGCAUAAGGUGCAUGUUUCUGAGACAUCGCUUCGGGGAACAUACUAAACGGUCCAGCGGUAGUUUCGAUUUGCAGAUCGAGGAUCUGUUGAUACUGAUCUUAUGCAUAUGCUGGCUUUCGUUGGCUGUUUUGUAAACUCGGCAACCUUCUCCAGCACAGUCCUUAGAUUCAGAUGAAAUGAAGACCAAAGUAGAUACAGCUGUGCUAAAGCAAUCUCUCAACCUGGACUCUGUUGUUAAAAAACUGAAGAGAUGUUCCUCAUGGCCACUUCUUAGACAAAG